GACCGCGUAGCUCAGUUGGCAGAGCAUUGGGCUAGUAUUCCAAAGGUCGUAGGUUCGAUUCCAACCGUGUCCC